rnacentral:tRNA from 1 species
UUGCGGCUGGAUCACCUCCUUUCUAAGGAUGAUCCUUCAGAACGAGCAUCCGCUCGUUCUAUCGGAUCGCUUAGAAACACAUCGGGACCUAUCAGUUCAGGCUGAUUUGGUCCUUAGGCGGGAUUUCGCCGUCUUCGUUUCUCUUUCUUCUCGGACGAGCCCGCAUCGGGGAUCAGAAGUCAGUCAUCAGUAAUCAGGCUUCUUCUGGCCGCUGAUUCCUGAUCACUGACCGCUGAUUACUGGCAUGGGCCUGUAGCUCAGUUGGUUAGAGCGCGCGCUUGAUAAGCGUGAGGUCGGAAGUUCAAAUCUUCCCAGGCCCACCAGCCUUCGCUCGCUACACGNAAGGGGAGGCUGCCGCGCCGAAGCCGAAUGGCGAAGG